rnacentral:rRNA from 1 species
GACAGAGGGUGCAAACGUUGUUCGGAAUUACUGGGCGUAAAGCGCGUGUAGGCGGCCAUGCAAGUCGGAUGUGAAAGCCCUCGGCUCAACCGGGGAAGUGCACUCGAAACUGCAAGGCUAGAGUCUCGGAGAGGAUCGUGGAAUUCUCGGUGUAGAGGUGAAAUUCGUAGAUAUCGAGAGGAACACUGGUGGCGAAGGCGGCGAUCUGGACGAUGACUGACGCUGAGACGCGAAAGCGUGGGGAGCAAACAGG